ACCAGCAAAAGAGAGAUUUGGAGAAAGAGAAGGAAGCAGCUCACAGAACAGAAGGUCAGGAGAGUCCCAAGGAGAAGGAUCAUAUCUGGUUUCCUCUUCUGCCUCUACCCGGUGUCUAGGAGAGUGCACGCUCAGUCAGCAUUGAUAACUAACUCCGAAUGCAGAUGUGAUGGUUGGAGCUCCAGCUGCUAUAUUGGACUAUGAAGACAAGGGUCACCCCUCUGGAUGGGACAGUGCGGAGUUGGAAGAAGCUCAGGUCCCUGAGGAUUUUGUGGAGUAGAUCCAUACCAGCACAUACAGGCUGACUGCAGACAUUAAUUUUAUCUCAUGCCCCUGGAAGCUAAGCCCAGUUCAAAUGGCUGCUAUCUUUCUGUCUACUGUGUAGGGAACAAUAGUGGAGGGAUAAGAGUGAAAAUAGGGAUAGUCUCUAUUUCAUAAAU